rnacentral:rRNA from 1 species
UGGGGAAUAUUGCACAAUGGGCGCAAGCCUGAUGCAGCCAUGCCGCGUGUAUGAAGAAGGCCUUCGGGUUGUAAAGUACUUUCAGUCGGGAGGAAGGUGGUAAGGUUAAUAACCUUAUCAAUUGACGUUACCGACAGAAGAAGCACCGGCUAACUCCGUGCCAGCAGCCGCGGUAAUACGGAGGGUGCAAGCGUUAAUCGGAAUUACUGGGCGUAAAGCGCACGCAGGCGGUUGAUUGAGUCAGAUGUGAAAUCCCCGGGCUUAACCCGUGAAUUGCAUCUGAUACUGGCAAGCUUGAGUCUCGUAGAGGGGGGUAGAAUUCCAGGGGUAGCGGUGAAAUGCGUAGAGAUCUGGAGGAAUACCGGUGGCGAAGGCGGCCCCCUGGACGAAGACUGACGCUCAGGUGCGAAAGCGUGGGGAGCAAACAGG